GGGGUUGUGGCUCAGAGGUAGAGUGCACGCCUAGCAUGCGUGAGACACUGGGUUCGAUCCUCAGCACCA
rnacentral:tRNA from 1 species